GGACCCACAUGGGAAACUGUUUUUGCCAGCGAUAAACCAGCUCCUCUCCUGUGGAAACCAUCAUCCCAGGAUCGAUGUACAUAGCAAAAUUAAAUUAACAUGAAUUGUAGCCUUUGAGUCCCCCACAGCUCUUGGGACCCCACCCUCAAAUAACCUCCCUCCAAGUGCCAGAGAGAGUGCAGGGGUGGUGGUCUUUUUCCUCUCAAUCCACUUGAGGAAAUUCUGGGAAGGAUGUCUGGUUAGUAAUAUGUGAGUGAUGGGCCAAGGGAAGGAGAAUUACUCUCCAAGAACCUUGGCAACAGGGUGAGGCAUUUCUUUAUUUUAUAGCUCAAUGAAGUCCAGCAGGCUUUCCUGAUGUUCCCAGGGAAAUCUGGCAGGCUGGAAUGACCUACGAAAACAUCAAUGAAGGAGACCUAGAAAUAGAGGAGUUGUGACCUCUACCCUCCGCCGUUGAUCCACCUAUGAAGAAAAGCUACCCUAUCUCAGGAAAUGUUUAGGUUUAUGUACCUAUAUGUAUAUGUUUAUGUAUUUAUUUUGCUUGUCAUAUUCUGUUUUUAAUUGUAUAAUUGAUUUUAUGGUUGUUUUCCACCCAUUUUCACUUGUUUGAUAUGGGCCCCUAUACAAAUUGGAUAAAUAAAUAAGUAUAAUUUGAAUAUUUUUCCUUCACUUGUUUUCCUAACGAACCUGUGUACUUUUCUUUAUUUCAUUAUUUUUUUAAAUCUGUAUUUGUUUGGUUUUCUGAUUUUCAGAUAUAAAUAAAGGUACAAUAUAAGUC